AUUUGGCUCUGGACACUUGAGCAACUGAGUGUCUGACACAUGUACAGAGGCCACAAGCUGCCAUGAGCUAUUUCUACAUGUAACUAGCUUCCCCUACGUUAUAGGCUUUUUAACUUCAUUAUGUGAUCAGGCAUGUUGCCAACUUUGAAGGCCAUUCCACGCAUCUGAGUGAUCUGGCUUGCCGUCCAGGUGAUUUAAGUGCCAAUCUUGAUAAAGGUCCGCAUAAGGACCGAAACGUCGAUGAAAUACGGCAUCAACAGUGAACCCGAAUAAAAAUAUACUGAAUUUACAAGUGACUUCAGAGACUAAUUUCUGGGCGUGAGUGCACCUUCCACCUAGGUGGU